rnacentral:tRNA from 1 species
CAGGGAGACGACAAAAUGUUUAAUAUUAUUAUUUUGUCACCUUAGGUCGAUCGGUAUCUCACGUUCUUAUUUUAUUAAGAAUUUCAUUUCCUAAGUUUUUCUAGGUCACACCCAUUAUUUUUCCUGGGCCAUUAGCUCAGGUGGUUAGAGCGCACCCCUGAUAAGGGUGAGGUCCCUGGUUCAAGUCCAGGAUGGCCCAUAUCUCUAUGUUGGGGGUAUAGCUCAGUUGGUAGAGCGCCUGCUUUGCAAGCAGGAUGUCAGCGGUUCGAGUCCGCUUACCUCCACUGAUUACCACCUCUUCCAUAAUUCGGUAGAAAGGAAACGUUUUGAGUUGUGAUCAAAUUCUGAACGAAUCUAGCUUCCUAAUGAAAUCAUUAAGAUGCUGGACUCAUUGAAUUAAUUUCAUUGUUUUCAGAGAACCUUGACAACUGCAUAGAUUAUUUAAAAGACAAUAAGCAUCUUUAAUGAUGCAGAUUUAUUAUUUGUGCGAAUGCAUUAAUAACAAUUCUAUUAAGCUGAUGCUUCAAUUUUUGAAGUUAUU